rnacentral:rRNA from 1 species
UACGUAGGGAGCAAGCGUUUGUCCGGAAUCAUUGGGCGUAAAGCGCGCGUAGGCGGCCUCAUAAGUCCGUUGUGAAAGUCAAAGGCUCAACCUUUGAAAGCCGAUGGAUACUGUGAGGCUAGAGUCCGGAAGAGGCGAGUGGAAUUCCUGGUGUAGCGGUGGAAUGCGCAGAUAUCAGGAGGAACACCAAUAGCGAAGGCAGCUCGCUGGGACGGUACUGACGCUAAGGCGCGAAAAGCGUGGGGGAGCGAACAGGG